rnacentral:rRNA from 1 species
GACGAACGCUAGCGGCGCGCUUAACACAUGCAAGUCGAGCGAGAACCAGCCCUUCGGGGCUGGGGACAGCGGCGAACGGGUGAGUAACACGUGGGUAAUCAACCCUCGGUACUGGGAUAGCCCGGGGAAACCCGGAUUAAUACCGGAUGGCCCUUUGGAUCUUCGGAUCUGACGGAAAAGGUAGCUUCGGCCUCCGACCGAGGACGAGCCCGCGGCGGAUUAGCUUGUUGGUGGGGUAAUGGCCUACCAAGGCGGCGAUCCGUAGCUGGUCUGAGAGGACGAUCAGCCACACUGGGACUGAGACACGGCCCAGACUCCUACGGGAGGCAGCAGUGGGGAAUCUUGCGCUAAUGCGGGAAACCGUGACGCAGCGACGCCGCGUGAGGGAAGAAGGCCUUCGGGUUGUAAACCUCUUUCAGGAGGGACGAAGCUACUCGGGUUAAUAGCCCAGAGGGUGACGGUACCUCCAGAAGAAGCCCCGGCUAACUACGUGCCAGCCGCCGCAGUAA